UACCACCUUUGGAUCUCCAGUCUCCUCCCAUCGUAGGACUCCCAUUGAACUAUAGCUUCGACAAAAUUAGGGCUUCCAUUCGAGUACAGACCAACACUAUUUCCUCCAUGGAAUUGAGGAAUUUCUCUUUGUGCACUUGAGAAGCUAGUCAAGCUAUUACUACGCGUUUUUUUUUUUGUUUGUUUUAACUCCCCGUCUUGGUAGCGUGGGUCCAGUUUCGCGUUCUGAUCGGAAGAGAGGAGAAAUGUCAAGCAUUUUUUUUUUGUUUUUUCAGUAGCUUUUGAAAUGCUCUUACGUCCAAACUGUGAGAAUUCUGAUGAUCGCUGCAGAAAGAAGGGAACUUGGACCAAAGAGCUCUCAUAAACCCUGAUACAUCUACCCUAGAGGCCUCGAGACACGGUGAUCUGGUCCUUCGAUGUCGAUCUCGUUGCAGAAGAUCGAGUGCUCUGAUCGCAGUCUGCGAAGACGAAUCGAUGCUUUUAUGAGACCUGUAAGCCGAGAUUUGAAGAAUUUGAAACAUAGUUGACUCUCCUGGAUUUUAUUGGUUGGACGUCACCACAAUUGGAACUGCUCAAGACAAGCCUCUGCUUCAAAGGAACUGUCCAGAGACAAAAAGUUGCGGGUGGUCGCUGUGGUUGAAUCCAAGAUUUUGCGAUGUCGUGUCCCUUGCUUCCUGAGGAUAUGAAAGAUUUUUCAUCCGAGAUCAUGGCCUGAGUUCAUAAAAGCAAAGGACGGAAAGAAAUGCUCACAGUGUCGUGGUUUGAACCAUCUGUCAAGUGGCGUAAUGCGUCUCCUCUCCCUCUUCGUUCUUCUUUCAUCAGACUUUUAACAGUAUUGAUGUGUGUUGUCAUUGCUGUUGAAAUGUUCCAAGAGAUGGUUUAUGAUAUAUUUCUUGCGACCGCGCUGCAAGCAGGAUCGCCACUGUAGUCGUCAUGGAUUUCGAAUUUACGAUUCCCUCCGCGCCAGCUGAUUACAUUGCUGAAGAUGCCUGCAGUUUUGAUGGAUCAAGUUCGGAUGAUGGCUCCGCACGAGAUCUCGGCAGCCAAUUUGUGCCCUUGGUUGCCGCAAUUGUAAGCAUAUUAUAAACCUCGCUCGAUUGUAACUUGGUCUGUGGACCGCUGCAGCGGAGCUACAUGUGGGGACGGACUUCUCAGCUUGAUGUCUUCUCAAAGGUCUCUGUGAAGAGGUCUGGCAAGAUGGUAUAAACUCCCAAUUCGGCAAAGACUUGGACCAUGUGAUCAGAUUUUAGUGCCAGGAGUGGUAUGAUUCGCUUAGGGUGUGGCACCGAAUCAACCAAAAGCUCAAUGAUCAUAAAGAUUCUGAGGAGUUAAUUCCUUCUUCAUCGUCACCAUUGGUGUUCGGUUGCUUCGCGGUUUUGUUGCCUCCUUUACGGCAUUGUUAGGUUUUUAUGCUCCUUGUCUUUCUACUUUCGAAUAUUCGAAUGGUUUUCUGCCUUGGGCCAGAGGCUAAAUUGUGUAAUUAGACGUUGAUGGGAUACUUCUUUCCAUGCAACUCUACAGGCCAGCAUUGCAGAAGUGCUGGUCGAUGCACCUGAGAUUGGAGAGGAAGAAAGGGAUGCAGAUGCAGUGGAUUCUUCACUGCUUUCUCCGGGGAGAGCAGCUUCAAUUCGCAAAAUUUGUAUUCCAAGAUUAUUGGAUAAUUUCAGCAAUCUUCUUACAAAGGCACGCCUCAGAGCAUUGAAACAGUAGUACCUCGGGUCAUUUCAAUAUAGACACAAUCCUCAAAAGAAUUUCAGUGUACACAAGGUGCGGCCCCUAACACGGAUUUUGGAUACGGCAAGGAUGAUUGUACAUGCACCCCAGCCUAUCAAGUGCGUGGAGGCCGAUCUUUGACUGUAUUUAUUACUAUCUGCCUCUAACAGAAUGGCAAGCGUGAUUGAGAAUUUUAAGAAAGCGUAUGAAGGGGAAGGACAUAUGGUGCUGAAAAUUCGAGUGGGUCUACCGGUUGAACAUAACAUUACAUCUGCAAAUUUUGUAUGUUGGCGCCAUCUCAAUCUCAACCUAAAACAUUCUUCAUAGGAAGAGCAAAGAAGAAGCUUGGUAGUCGAAAUGCAACUGCUAAGAAGGCAAAAUCAAUGCUCAUAGAGCACAAAACUAUUCUAGAGGGGUCACCAAGUUUAAAGACAUUGUCUGAAGCGAACGAAACCACUCUGGAUACGUCAAAUUUAAAGACGUGCAUUGGUGCAAUCGAAGUUGCGGUUGAAUCAACUUUCAGGGGUUGCACCUCAGAAUCACCAGUAGUUGCAGAAGCACUGGAUCUGAAAGAAGAACCUAAAUGUUGGAGCAUAACAAGCGGUUUGAAGUUGCAGUUGAUUUGGAGGACAGCAAAAUCCAUCAUCCCGAAGAUCACUCGAGCAUUAGUUUGGCAGAUGCAUCGGAUAAUUUUCCUAGGAGGUCAAAGUUGGUGAAAACUGCAACCUCGCUGCCUAUUUCGACGAAAAUCAUUGAUAAGGCAUUGGCUGUAAGUCAAGGUUUUUUGGGAACUAAAUGUUUUCCAGGGAGACCAGGAAAUGGUAUAAAAAUUAGGGUACGAAGGACUAGAUCACCUACGUUUCGAGAAGUGGCUGAAGUUGGUAUAAUUCCGCUGCAUGGGAGAUUGCUAGCGAGUGUACUUUAUCAAACAUUAAAUGCAGAGAUUCUCAUUCAGAAUUCCCUUUGAUGUCAUUAUAAAGUAUGUAAAUGCAGCUGCUUCAUUCAUGUAAGUUCAAAAUUUUUCUUGUAAUAACAAACAUAUUCCUUGGUUUGAGCAAGUA